UAGAGAAUAUUUUUCACUUGUGAGGGAGGUGCUCAAGUGGUUCAUUAUGAUAUUUUAUGUGGACGUGUACACUCGUCUAGAAAAGUAAGAUUUAUUAACUUUUGUUUGGGUAUAAUCAAUUUUACAGUAUUUCUUUCAGGCAGCAUUAAACCCUGCUGGCUUAAACAGAUAGUUCUGGUCAGCAUCUGUGACUCUAGUACAGCUGUACUGUGAAAACAGGCUUGUUAAGCAGCUGAACAAAUAAAACUCAGGACCAGUGGUGUCACAAGCAGCUGGCACAAAACAAACAAUUUUCAGCAUUUAAUCUGGGCCAAACAGCCCUGCAGUAAUAGAAUUCAAAUUCAUUGACUUCAGCGUACAUGAAUUAGGUUUGUUGUCUGAAUCUAUAUUUAUAUAUAUGUAUUUGGGUACAUACAGAAAAAAGUUUUUAAGUAUUUUUCUUUUGUAUUAGUGAGCUAGUUAUGUUCAGGGAAGCUUGCACAUACUGCCUUCUCUGCUGGUUUGAGUUCUGUUAGGGUUAAAUUUAAUACAUGCUGUUCCUGGCAGAUUCAUAGAAGCAAGUCACUAAGGCCCUGUCUAGACUAGGAAAAGGAGAUGCGUUUGGCAAGUGUGUUAGCAAACAUUUCAAAUAACAUGAUUUUAAACAUCAUUGUGCAGCCUAAUGCAUACAAAGACAAUGGUAUUUUUAAAAGUCUCAGCUAAGCGUAAUCAGUGCUUAAUUUGUGCCAGGGUUGAGCCCGGCACCUCUAGGCUUACUGCAGCGAUUACGUAUGCAAAAAAAAAAAAAAAUUGCAUGAGCCCCGGCACCUCUUUCAUUACAAAUUAAGCACUGGGCAUAAUCAACCCUAGUUAAAUGACUAUCAUUUUGGAAUGAUAACAAUGAAAACAUACAGUGACUAUUAAGAAUGCUUAGAAUAUUAUAGCUUAACAAAACAAUACUGACAACUCCCCCAGCCCCCCAAAAGCCCCCACUGUCCAUAAUCAGCUAAAUCAUCAAUUUGAAUUGUAGAAACAUAAUCUCAUCUUUUUUUUAUUGCUCUAAGUGCAAGUCAUACACUAGAGUUAUGGAGUAAAAUAUCAGCUAAAA